CCUACGGGAGGCAGCAGUAGGGAAUCUUCCACAAUGGGCGAAAGCCUGAUGGAGCAACGCCGCGUGGGUGAAGAAGGUCUUCGGAUCGUAAAACCCUGUUGUUAGAGAAGAAAGUGCGUGAGAGUAACUGUUCACGUUUCGACGGUAUCUAACCAGAAAGCCACGGCUCACUACGUGCCAGCAGCCGCGGUAAUACGUAGGUGGCAAGCGUUAUCCGGAUUUAUUGGGCGUAAAGGGAACGCGGGAGGUCUUUUAAGUCUGAUGUGAAAGCCUUCGGCUUAACCGGAGUAGUGCAUGGGUAACUGGGAGACGUGAGUGCAGAAGAGGAGAGUGGAACUCCAUGUGUAGCGGUGAAAUGCGUAGAUAUAUGGAAGAACACCAGUGGCGAAAGCGGCUCUCUGGUCUGGAACUGACGCUGAGGUUCGAAAGCGUGGGUAGCAAACAGGAUUAGAUACCCUAGUAGUC
rnacentral:rRNA from 1 species